GUGAUAUAACUCAGCUACUGCCUGCCCAACUGCCAGCUUCCAGAGCAUCAGGGGCUUGCCAGGCAGAAAUGACAAGACAUUGACAUUUUUUAGACUCUACACUGGAAUUUGAUUAGGAAUCAAGGUUUGUAACAGGCUGAAAGUGAUUCAUCAGUUCAUUUUUGCAGAUAAACGAGCAGUCUCUUGUUUCCUUGGAAACUUGGACCUGAGCAUAUGUAGCUCAGAAUGUGCACCCUCAUGUUUUCAAUUGAGCAGAUACAGGAUGGGUUUCUCCCAAGAGAUUCAAUAUGUUGCCUUAAACAGAAGAAGCUAAAAUAGAAGAGAAUUGCCAUAUUAAAAUUGGAUACUACAGACAUGGCUAGAUUUCUCAAAACACAGUAAUUCUGAAUAAAAGAGACAGACACUCAUAAUCUAGCCUUGCUGGGUUAGCAAUUUGCAUAAUUUAUUUUUCUGAAUUGGAAAGGUGAGUGUUACUUCUUGAAAUAUUCCUUUGUAUGCAUUUGGAAUGUCUAGUGCUUACACUGCUUACUCUUUGGGGAUCGUCAUGAGCUAGAAUCAAGCUCUAAACCCCUUUUCUGCAUAGUGGCAUAUAGGGAACUACAUAGAUAAAUUCUUGUUCUAGAAUAUAUAUGACAAACAUGAGGCGACGUUAGCUUCUUUAAAGGAGCCUUAGAUCUAGGAUGAUUUUUAGUUCCUAAGAUGCCUCCAGGGCUUCUCCCAGCUUAGAGUGUGGGGAACUUGCACGUUUUCCUGUAGCAUGUUUAAAGUGCCUGCUACUUUCGACCAACAAUAAGAGCUCCUUUUAUGUCAGGCCUAGCUGGGUUUUCUGUGCUGGCAAGCGAGGUCUAACAUGGAAUAUCCAGAAAUCACACUGCAGUUCCACCAUUCUUGAUGUCCUCCCAGCCUGUCAACCAUUGCUGCAGUUACGGACACCUGGAAAAAUUGAGGCUUGUGCUCACCAUCCGAGCAUCUCUGGAAAAUGAGAAGAAAUAAAAUGGCAACCGUGUUGGGAUGCCCCACACCAAGAUGUAGGCAUCAAUGGUGAUUGCUCAUCUGGCAACACGUGAAGAGAUACCCCGUAAGUGGAUGGUAGUCUUAUUUCCAGGGAGGGUUUUAUUUUUAUUAGUCUUUUUGUAGGAAGGAAACAAAAACCAUACCUUCACAUUUUCUAAAAAUAAGCCUUUCCACUCCUUAAGUAGCAUUGUUAUUUAUAGGUCUGCCAUUUUUCUGUUAUUUAGUGAAUGUUUCAAUUAACAUUUACGUUAUAAAAAUAUUCAUGUAGCAAUUACAACUUUUCAGAAACCAAUGAACUGCAAGUAUAGCUACUUCCUAUUUAUAAACCACUUUUGUAAUAUCUUUAGGAGCUGCUCAUCUUUUGUAAAAGAUUUGAGUCAUAAAAAAUGCAAAGCACAGUAAGUACUGAUGUGGUGCUUUUCAUUCCAAGCGCUUUAUGGUGAUAACUUAUUCAGGCCACCUCUGUAAAGGUCACAUUGAUGACAGUACCCACUAGACCAGAACAGUAUUGCAUCCCUGGGGGGGUCCAGGUCUCUAGGGCAUGCUUGACUGAACCAGCACAUUAACACCUGGGUAUUUUUCACACAAAAUUCUUGAAUCUUUUCUUGCCACAUGUAAUAAUACCUAAAUGCCAACAAGAGUAAUAUCUUAAUCCUACCCUAAAGACUUAGAUCAAGUAUGUCAUAGAUUCUUCUUAAUAUCCAUCUGGGUAUAUUAUAUAUGAAUGCUUUUUUUUUUUUUAAAGAAAAUUGUUUGUUGAGUCUUUUGAGAUGUUUUAUUUUCUUUCUGGUUCCACGAAGAUUAUUUUAUUCUAGCGCAGCUCGCCUUGGUAAUCAGACACCGGCUUCACUUUUUGGAGAGAGGAUCUAUCUAAGUUCUGUUUCGUCAAGGAUGUGCCUAGGAAUGACCAUUUUUGAUCUUAUCAUUGACAUGAGAAUUAAAAGGGUAAAACACUAAGACUGCUGACAAGAGUAAUAUUUCGCGUUUGAGCUGAGCAUUCCACCAAACGAUUUAUUUCAUGAAUUGAAAAGGACCUCUCCUUUCAAUGUGGAAAGACAUUAUGGGAUAAGGAGGAACAGGGCAUCAUUCACAUGAUUCUGGAAUUUGUAUUUGAGCUAAAAAAUUCCAAUGAAGAGUUUUGACCUUGGUCUUCAUUCUUUGUUAUGGCUGAAUAAUAUUCCAUAGCUUACAUACACCACGUCUUCUUUAUCCAUUCAUCUAUCAAUGGACAUUUGGGCUGCUUCCAUAAUUUGACUAUUGUAGCUAAAACUGCUAUAAACAUAGGAGUGCAUGGAUCCCCUUGAAAAAUUUGAGUUUUAAAAAACUGCAAUAAUGUCACUCAUAAAUAUUUAAUUAUCUUUACUUUCGAUGAGGCGUGGUAUGGUUAAAACAAACAUUUUUUUCCUCAAUGAAUAUUGAUUGGUAUGAAUAAGAACAAGAUGUCUCCAUAAAUGAUAAUUUUACAUUUAAAAUGACAGUGAUAUAUUUGCACUAUGUUUAGUAAUGGAUAACGGUUACAAAGAGUGAUCUAUUUAGUUUUUAAAUAAAAUAUAGAAGGAGUUAAAAUGAGAAGUGACA
rnacentral:lncRNA from 12 species